AUGGUGUUGGCUGUUGAACGUACCUGGGAAUACACCACAAGCCAAUUUUGUUUCUAUAUAACCAUUUUCCUAGGAAUCAGUGCAGCUCUUAAAGACUGCUUCAGGAUGCUGCAUACAAGCACACACUUCAGAAAUGUUUUUGAAGAUAUGAGGAGGAGGAAGCCGUGCCAGUGGCUUAAGAAGAAUAACAUGGUUUUAAAAUACAGCCUAAAAGAUCUAGUAACACAGAUAAGGACCCCCAGUCCUACAGAGGUUUUUCAAGUACAACAGAGGCACUUCUUGGAGGACUUCUAGACACAGCCAUUGGACUUACUAAAAGCAGGACUUUUAGGAUGUAUGUUACAUAUAUGCAUAGAAUAAGAUUCAAAAAAAUAAAUACCAGACUGUAAACAGAGAUGAUCUCUCAAAAGAUUAUGGUAGCUUUAAUAACAAUUAUUAUUGUUUACCUAUGUAUACUGAAAUGUUUUACAGACAACAUGUACCCUUUUGCAUGUUUUUAUAAAUUGCUUUUAAAGACAUGUUAAUAUUGUCACACAUAUCAGAAGAAAUGCUUGGGUUUUCCCUAAAAAUAUUACGUAGCACUUGUGGGAAGCUGUGGAGCCUUGUGGGAAGCUAAACCGAGAAAGCAUACUCAGAAAUAGCAGGAUGACCCUUAAUGGAAAAUGUGGGGAGAUCCAGACCAAAGACUUUAGCAUCUGCACCUCACUUGCCGUGGAAAGCCAUCUAGGCCUUAGUAAAGCAAUACAGUUAGGUUUCAGCCUCCUGGGGCAGCUUAGCUGGAACACAAGGUUAUUAGACCUACGAGGAGCUCCUAAACCAGCCUGGAACCAAGGAAUGCCAGGUGAUCCUUCCCAAGCCUACUAUGGAACAAGAUGAAACUACAAACCACAAGAAUUUAUGUAAGUUUCCUUUUCUUUUCUUUUUUUAAACUUGUGUUCAUUUAUUGACUGCUGGGAGUACAGCUUAUUGAGAAUACAUGACAUGCAUUUGGGGGAGAAAUUAACUAAAUCUGAAAUGAAGCCAUCCAAUAAGUCUGCUGUGAGUCAAUAAGGUAGCACAGAUUAGAUGUAAGGACAGAGUGGUAGCAACUAAAACAGCCAUUUACAGUUGUUAUUAAGAUUCCAGCUGCAAAUUCUUUUGGAACUUAUUUAUUCUUAUUUACUUAGGAAUUACCAGGAAAGAGGGAAGUCUUUACCUUAAACUAAUACUAAGAGGCAGAUUAAAGUCUGCCUCUUUACCUUAAACUAAUACUAAGAGGGAUGCUGUGAAUCACUGAAGAACUCCCCCCAAAAUUAUGCUCUUACUUCAACACCUUUAAGGCAAUUCUUCAAUGUCAGUCUGUAUGCCUCAGACUUAUAAGUAGCUAUGCAGACUUAGAAAAGAUUAAUAACUGAUUCAAAAGACUGUAUUCAUUUGAUUCCAGUGUCUACUGCUGAAUUAUACUGAGGUCUAAUAUGAGCAAAUUUUUAUACCAUAUUGCCAAUUUCCCCUCCAAGAUUUUUGUUUUCACUAAUUGAUGCAAUAAAAUAAAUCAAAGAAUUCCAGGUACACUUAAAAGGACAGAAAGAUUAAGUUACUGGAAUAUCUUAGACCAUGAUCUAAAAUGGUUGAAUUACACAGAUAGAACUUAAAUAAAAUGAUUAACUUGAAUGAAGUGAAUAAAAUGCUGAAAUGUAUCCCAAACUACAGUUUCAUGCCAGAUAUUCCCCCAAUCGUUGUAAUGGAUAUCUUUUCUUAAGAUGACAACCUUAACAUCACUCGAUGUUCAGGUGAUUUGGGGUACUUUUUAUGGUAGCAGAAAGAAAAAAAGAGAGAAAACCCCAAUGGAAUGAAAAAAGGAAGAUUUUUGCUUUUUUUCUUUUUUAAAGAGGCAGCCUGGUUGUUUUUUUUUUCAUAAUCUUUCUUCCACACUUCUGGAGAAAUGGGUUAUGACUUGCAGCGCUGGACAAAUUGAGGGUAUAAGCACACGUCUCGGAUGUGAUACCUAUUCAGAAUCCACGUUAAGAAUCGUUCCAGGCCCAAGCCAUAGCCUCCAUGUGGACAUGUGGCGUAUUUUCUCGGAUCUGUAUACCAGUAAUAGGGAGUGGGGUCGAUCCCUUCCCUUUUAUAACCUGCCAGUAUUUCUUCAUUAUCCCAGAUACGUAUUGAGCCUCCCACAAUCUCACCAACAUUGGGCAUCAACACGACGACAGAUUCAGUAAGACGGGGAUCUUCAGGACAUUGCUGCAUGUAGAAGGACUUGAUCUCCACAGGAAAUCGACACAGCAAGAUUGGUUCAUUAAUGGUGUCUGUCAUCAGUCUCUCAGGAGCUUCUGGGAUAUCUUCUCCAAAUUCAUAGAAAGUUCCAUCUUCUUUCUUUAUAUCAUGUUCUUUUAGCCACACAAUAGCAUCUGAAUAGUUCAUCCAUUUGAAAGACCGUUUGGAGGGGGCUUAAAGUUCAGGUUGAGUUCAUGCACUAUGCUGGCUACAGGUGACUUCAGUACUCGGUCUACCACAUCACAGACCAAGUCCUCCAGCCGGUUCAGGAGGUCCUCAAAGCUCAGGAAAGGACACUCGGCUUCCAUGUGAGUAUACUCAGCCAGGUGCCUUUGUAUUCUGGACUGUUCUGCCCGGUGGGACUGCGUGAUGCAAAAAACAUCUCCCAGGGCUGGGAGGCAAGUCUCCAGGUACAACUGAGAGGACUGAGUCAAAAAUGCCUCUUCCCCAAAGUAGUCAAGCUUGAAGAGCGUGGAGCCACCUUCUACUUGUGUUUGCACUAAUGUUGGAGGAGCAACUUCACAGUACCCCCUAUCAAAGAAGUGAUCUCUAAAGCACCUGGUGAUCAUGGAUCGUGCUCUGAAGAUUUUGGACAUGUUUUCUCCUCGGAUCAUCAUGUGUCUGUUGUUGAGCUGGACGUCAACAUCAGACUCCUCAUUGAUCAAGUUGUCAGCUCCUCCAGCAGGGGCCAAGCCAAUGAGUUCCCAGAAGUCACAACUCAGCUCAUGGCCACCUGGAGCCUGCUUGCCCUUUGGGGUAAGAUUUAGCGUUCCAUACACUGCCACGCUACUCUCCGUGGACAAGAGUAGUCCAUUGUAGCACAGACACAACUCAUCCGACAAGACACACUGAAGAAAACCUGUUCCAUCUCGCAACAUCAGAAACAUUAAAUUCUUUCCUUGCCUACGUAGCCUGUGGGCCCAGCCAAACACCUUUACUCUUUGGCCUCAAUAUCCUUCUAACGCACUAAUCUUCACACAUUUUGGCUCUGGGAGACUUGGAUCGUUUUUAAUGGUAACCUUCUUGGCUUCUUCCAGGUUCUUUUCUCUUCGUAAAUUAUCUUCUGCCUCUUUCUUAUCCCGGGAGUCACUCUUCAUUUGUUCCCUAUGCCACAUCUUUUUAAUGUUCUUCAUCUGUGAUUUAGAAAUAACAUUCCACCUCUCAUUUUCUUUUUGUGAAUCUAUGUAAAUGGUAGGAAAUGGUUCUUUUCCUAUUGUCAUCAAAGCCUUUAGACCUGUUUUAAAUGGCUUCUCCUUGGUUCCAUCUCCCGUGGCAUCAUCGCCUUCUCAUUCAGAGACGUACAGCUCUGCUAGCACCAUGCCUGCCGUGGCCAUGAUCACCUCCAAUCAAGUUUCCUUUUCUUUGAGAAAAAUUUCAUUUUGCAAGAGGGAGUGUUCUUAGCAGUCUACGGAAGGAUAGAUUUCCCAGGUUUCUGGUUAUUAACAGAAAUGUUAAUAUCCCAGAAAGGUAAUUUGGAAUGCUUAUACUAGGGAUGUCUUAGAUUUAAGUAUUAUC
rnacentral:lncRNA from 1 species